ACUUCGGUUAGGGAGAGCUUAGGGGCCGCUGGAUGUGAGCGCGCAAGGAACAGGGCCAUCCAUGGAUGGCUUCGGCGUCGGCAAGGAUCGCGGGCAUGCCAGAUGGCCCCGGGCCCAUCGUGGGGAAUGGGGUGACUCCGGACGUUGUGGGAGGUAGAUCAGCGCUGUGAGUGGUGGAUCGGCGUCGUGAGAGGUGGUCGGCACCGUCGGGUGUACAGGGGGUGCACGGGAAUCUCCACGGACUGGGACUGCCUUGGUCGGGCGGUGGGAUCAGCCCCUUGAGCCCCUCCUCAUCGUGCUGGUCGUACAUCACUUGCCGCCAAAGAUGGAGGGGUUUGAAGGGUGGUGAUGGUGCUGUAGGUUGUCAUAAG
rnacentral:lncRNA from 1 species